rnacentral:rRNA from 1 species
ACAGCUCAAAUUUGAAAUCUGGCUCUUUUAGGGUCCGAGUUGUAAUUUGUAGAGGAUGCUUCGGCGUGGGCUCCGGUCUAAGUUCCUUGGAACAGGACGUCAUAGAGGGUGAGAAUCCCGUAUGUGAUCGGUUGCCUUUGCCAUGUGAAGCUCCUUCGACGAGUCGAGUUGUUUGGGAAUGCAGCUCUAAAUGGGAGGUAAAUUUCUUCUAAAGCUAAAUACUGGCCAGAGACCGAUA